UCACCAGGCUCAAGGUUGACUCAGCCUUCCAUCCAUCUGAGGUUGGAAGAGGAAUCAAGAUACCCUUGUAAUUCCAUGAUUGCUUGUGCUGGAGGAGAAGGAACAAUUUUAUGAACAAGGAUUUCUUAUUUUGAGUAGAAAGAUUCAUGCAAAAACCACAGUUCUCAAAUACAUAAGCAAAUGACAAAUCUGAAAGGGCACAGGCUCUGUUUGGACUUCAAAAUAAGACGUUUGAUUAUGAAUAAUGGUCUAAUCACACAGUCCUACCAGGCUGUAUGCUUCAGGCCUAAUUGUAAUCAUUAUUUUUAAGCAGUUAGAAUUACUUGGCCUUCAUGUCCUACAAAACUAGCAAAGCAGACUGUCAAUUGCCAGCAAUACCAAAUAUCUGUCAUAUUGAUUAAGAAGAAAGAACGUGUAGGAUUUUAGUUAGAUAUGGGUAUUAGCCUGAAACUUUCACCUUGAAAUAUGAUUCCAUUCUUUCUUCUUUGCUAAACAGAUUUUUUUUUUAAAAAAUAAUAAUUUCGCCUUCUAUUGAUCACAGCGCUACUCUCUCAAACUGAUUCUGCACUAAUAUUCAUUUGAAUAAGGAACGAAAAGCGGCAGACUAGCCUGGCCUUUCUCAUGAACAUGUCUGAA